UACGGAGGGUGCAACCGUUGCUCGGAAUCAUUGGGCGUAAAGCGCACGUAGGCGGCCUGUUAAGUCGGAUGUGAAAGCCCCGGGCUCAACCCGGGAAGUGCAUACGAAACUGGCAGGCUUGAAUAUGGAAGAGGGUCGCGGAAUUCCCGGUGUAGAGGUGAAAUUCGUAGAUAUCGGGAGGAACACCAGUGGCGAAGGCGGCGACCUGGGCCAUAACUGACGCUGAGGAGCGAAAGCGUGGGGAGCGAACAGG
rnacentral:rRNA from 1 species